GCAUGAAACCUCCGUAAACAUGGAAGUAGGAUAAGGGAGCAAGGGUUAUGGGGUCAUCUUAGAAUUUUGUCUACCACAAGGGUAUUUGGUGUGACGUUUAUGCUGUGGAUUUUUCAGAGCAACCACGUUCUUAAUCCUUAUCUUCGUUUUGGUGUCCUACAACCUGGCCUGGAAAGAAGAGGGCCAACUCUGGGUGGGUUCCAUCAACAAGUACAUGUAGAGCACCUGCCGCACAGCCAACCUUCCUGUUAUGGACUAUUUGUUUAUGCCCCCCAAAUUUCUGUGUUGAACUCCUAAGCCCCAGUGUGAUGGUUUUAGGAGGUGGGGCCUUUGGGGGGUGAUUAGGUCAUAAGGGUGGAGCUCUCAUGAACGAUGGGAUUAGUACCCUUAUAAAAGGAAUCCGUGAGAGCGCUGUGAGGACAGAAUGCAAAGACAGUUAUCAGCAACCUAGAAGAGGGCUCACGCCAGGAUCAGGCCAUGCCGGCACCCUGACUAAGAACUUCCAUCCUGCAGAACCAUGAAAAGUACGUUUCUGUUGUUUGUGAGCCACCAGUGUAUGGUGCUUUGUUAUAACAGCCUGUACUGACUAAGAUACGUGCAUUAUAGGCAGGAAGUAAAAAUCUCUGUAAAAUGCACGUUCCUUGCUCUCUCCACGUCAAAGUUUUUCAUACACAUAUCAUGAGAUUGUCAGCCAAUCAAGGCAUCUGAGGACAGGGGCUAAAUUUAGUGGGAAUUGAGUGGGAAAGUAAACCCUUGGGAAUUGAAGCAGGCAAAGGAAGGCUUCAGGAGACGAAAUGGUCAGUGGGCCUUGAACAAGGCAGACAGUUCAACAAGAUGGAGAGAGAGGGGCAAGGCCACCCAGGUGGCAAAGAGCCUACUGUGUGGGGAAAUAAUGGGAAGUCAGAUUGAGCUGUAGUGGUGGGUCCUCCCCCAACACUUGAAUAGGUGUGCUGUGGGGGUGGAUGGGAGGCACACUAUGAAAAAUACAUGUGUGUUCAUGAUAAGCCACAUGGGGACAGCCACAUGUUGAAAUCACAUGAAGUUCCUUUUUCUUACAGAAGCCUCUUGAAGGACUCAUGUCCUCCAUCCCUGCCUACAGCAAGCCUUUGUCAAGGGCCCUCUGCUCUUGGUGUACAGGUGAAUCAUUCUGAACAGUGUGAGAAGUUCUAUACACAAAGUUCGAAGCCCAGCCUUCACAUUGAGAUUGUCUGAGAAACUUGUAAAAAGGAUACCAAUGGUCAGGGAGUACCUCAGACCAACUCGAUCAGAUUUCUGGUGAUUGGCAUGGGGAUUGGGAUUGUAUGGAAAUGUUCUCCAGGUGACUUUAAUAGCAGCUGGCCAAGAAGUGGAGCUGCUCUUUAUUCUCCCAGUGGCUCUGUGUACACGCUCUGCCUGUGGAGCUGCCUGGGAUGAGCCGUGAGUCCUCUGAGAACUGCUUCCUGUUUCGUCUGGUAACUCCUAAGCCUGCCUUUCUUUCCUACGGUCUGCAUUUGUGGAAAUCUGCAGUAUUUGAAGUUUGGAGGAGAUCAAUUUUUCAUCCUUUCCUUCGUGGGAUAAAGAAUAUUUCAACCACCUCUGGAGACCAAAGAGUUCUGAGAAGUUUUGAAAUAGCUUGGGAAAUACACCACGUGCUUCACACUUCAUUUUUCUCCUCUCUCUUUCAUUGUUUCACUUAAUUAAAAUAUUGUAAUGCAAGAAGGAGAGAUGAGGCAAACGUUUAGAGAAGGAAAGGGAAAUGGGUUCAUGUUUAAACUGACUCUGAGCAAGCAUGGCGAUAGUAGUUUGAAAGAAUUCUGAGCAUGUAGGAAGGUAAACUCAAAAUGUUCUUCCUGCCUGAGAAGUGAUUAAAAUACCUGUGAGCACCAA